GCAUUAUUUGACGUUACCUACAGAAGAAGCACCGGCUAACUCCGUGCCAGCAGCCGCGGUAAUACGGAGGGUGCGAGCGUUAAUCGGAAUUACUGGGCGUAAAGCGCAUGCUAGGCGGCCUGUUAAGUCAGAUGUGAAAGCCCGGGGCUUAACCUCGGAAUUGCAUUUGAAACUGGCAGGCUAGAGUCUUGUAGAGGGGGUAGAAUUUCAGGUGUAGCGGUGAAAUGCGUAGAGAUCUGAAGGAAUACCAGUGGCGAAGGCGGCCCCCUGGACAAAGACUGACGCUCAGAUGCGAAAGCGUGGGGAGCAAACAGGAUUAGAUACCCUGGGAG
rnacentral:rRNA from 1 species